AAACAAAGCUAAGAAAUAUUUCCUUAUCCCUUCUUGUUCCACAGUGACAAACUAUUUCUGCUUUUAAACUACAAAUCAACAACAGCACUUUUCUCAUCCAGCUUACAGAGGUUUUUCGAUUUAGACCCUUUCAGUGCUGUCAUCUGGGCUCUGGGGGUAAACUGAAUGCAGAUUUCUGCAGCUGAGCUGCAACGAGAUUAUUUUCAGACAGAGAACCGCCUGAUGUUGGCACAGACCUGCCAGGCUGUGUCCUUAACAACUGCUUCCCAAAACACCACUGCAUGGGAAAUAAAGGCAGAGAGGCUGUGAACAAUGCCUCUUUGUGUCCUACCGAUUUCCAGGAACAGUAGGGCUGGCCCCAGGCUGUGACAGUGUUUCCACACACCUUUCCCCAGCACAUCCCCGAGCCAGGCUUUCACAACCGAGGGCUGCUCUGAGGGGUCGUCAUGCCAUGUGCCAGGCUCCUGCGGGCUCCUGCCCCUCUCGGGAAUCUUUCAUGGGCAACGGGAACCUUCUUCUAUAGAGUCCGCAGUCAAGGGUAACCUGCAGAUGAUACCUCUUUCCCCAGUCAGAGUCUGACUCCUGAUGACAAAUUUCUUGCAAAAAUUUCAAGAAUCUAACUGCAAUGUCACUGGUCUCAUAUUCCAUAUGAGUGGCAAAAACCAAUUUCAUGAGAACACGGCGUUCCCAAUUUCCCUCUAGUGCUGCCAUAGCACUCCUGAAUUUUAAAGCUAUUCUAAGAGUUUCUUCUCAGAAAUGCAGACUCACUACAAGACCCCCCAGAACCUAAGAUGCUUUUUCUUGGUUUAUUUUUCAUUUAAAUAUGCGAAGCAGAUGCAGAUGUCUGCUUGCAUUUUUCAACCAUCUGUUUUAAUAACUAGCUACAGGAUGGACUCUACAGUGACCUUGUUUUCCAGUCUCCAAGUAUAUAGAUGAAGCUGUUUAAAAUAUGACUUAAAUUCAAUGAUUGACUUGCAAAAAAAGAGGCCUGGAGUCUGAAGGCACACUAGUAGUUUCACACACUGUCUGCUCAGAUGAAAUGUCUCCUUUUUUACACUGGCAUACCUGACAAUGAGUAAACAGCAACAUCAAAGUUUAUAAAGUCUUUAUUUCUUUAUUCACCAAGUUAUCUUUUGUUUUAAGACAUACACUUCUUUGAAGAUAACCUAAGACUCACUAUAAGAUUACUUGCCAGCUAAUGCAAAGUAUAUUUACAUCUUUAAAGAAAAGUUUUCCUGGGUGCCAGUGUUGCUAAACCCUGCAGUUUUUUAUCACAAGGCUAUAUAACAUUGGGUAUUUUCUUCGAUGCUCUGGCUUCUGAAACCAAGAUACUAAAUUAAUUUUGCAAGAAUAAGAAGGCUCUUUGGUCCCUCAGGAACAUUCUGCAAGCUUCCCUAUUUCAUCAUUUGAAUAUCUGAUCAGGAAAGCUUGGUAACACCAUGUCUCUUCACAUUUCCAGAGCCUCCAGAGAAACAACACUCCUAUGAAUGUUACGAAAUAUUUUGUGACGUAUUUUAUCACCACUCAUCAGAGACCCAGGCUAAGGAAUUCAAACCAUGGAUAGGAACGAGCUUUCCAAGCACCACUUCUUGCAGACAGAAUUGGGCUUGUUCUGGCUCGGGGCAGAGCCCAGCACAACCCAGCAGAGCCAAGCAAGGAGUGGAGUGGGUUGGGAUGGCAGCACUAGAUGGGUUGAUUCUACCUGAUGCCAGUGAUUCAUGGGGAUUUUGCAUCAACAGAAGUUUCAGGAUGCAUUUAAAGAAAAGACAGUUGCCACCUAUCCUUUUAAGUAAAAAGUACAGGUCUGUGGCCCACCCUGCCCUUGGAAAGCAUCCUGCACCUUACAGUACCAUCAGGACUCCUUGAAUAUUCAGCAGUUCUGGAAGUCAUGACACCUCCCUUAAGCCUCCACAAAUGCAAAUGAACCUAAACCAUAAGAGCAAACUCCUGGAGAAAAUAAAACUCUUUAUUUGUAAGAGAGGAAAAAUUACCAAAUACAUCCCAGGAAGACAUUCCCUUCAGCAUUAACCUUUACUAUUCAGCAAAUUAAUAAAACCUACAGAUCCUUAGUAUUUCCAUGAAGAACACAGACCUAGCAAUUAAUAGUGAACCUGUUCAUGUCCCUAUGCAGAAAAAAAUAUUUUUCCGUGUUUUGAAAAAACUGGACAAUAUUUUUAAUGGUCAGCACCAAGCCACGAUCACCAAAUGGAUCAGAAUGAAAAUAACUGUAGGCAGUGUGCCUUCCCUGUGCGUCCACUUUUCCCAUGUACAGGUAGAAAAUAGGUCCCAGAUAAUUAACUCAUAUUCCUCUUCUGCACAGUUGUACAAAGAAAAAUUAUUUAACUACAUUUCCAUUUUACUUUACAAAGUCUAGAUCAGUGCUCCUACACACGGAGUAUUAAUGAACUACCAAGCAAGAGAAAACACAUCCUAUAUAACAUACACACUUUCAACACCUUUCACAAAUUUUAAUGUCUUCAGAUUUUCAUAAUCUCAAUGCAAUUUAUUCCUAACACCACUUUCCAAAUUUCAAACUUUCUCACUGGGAAGACACAAAGGUGAGCAGCACUUGCUUCUGGUCUUGUCUCUCUGCAAAUGCACCAUCGAGCUUGAUGGCUUCCACACACUCGGCAACCAGGACUGACAAAAGGUUACAAAUGGAUCUACUCUCAGCUGUUACUGGAUACUGCUAGACCUGCAGCCCUUUGAUUCUUAGUCUUGAAAUUAGGAUCAUGAAGUUAACUGUGGGAAGCCAGAGUCAUUUCACUGGGAAUGUUCAUGGAAAUUACUGUGUUACCAGGGUGGCUGAUGGUAACCUCAAAUUUCCCUUUAUUAUUUUGUUGCCUGUUUCCAGCCAAGAGCCAGGGUAGUAACAUCGUAUUGUUUUCAUGCCAUUUGCAUACAGAACUCCACCAGUAUAUCUUUAGCUGAAGAGCAGACAAAUACACAUGUUACAAUCUCCAUAUACCAUCAGAACACCGACAUGGGGAUACUGGCCAUUAUGGCCAGUUCACAUACCCUGCUAUCCCAUCCUUAGCAACAAUCAUGAAAAAAACCUCCAGAAAAGAGCCAAGAACAGAAGCAAUACUGAAUACUUGAAGCAUUUCACAAAUUUAAACUGUCUUAUGACUUUGUGCCAUUUUCUACAUAUUUUUGUGAAUAUACAAAUUUAGUGCUUUAGCUACCUCGCCUCUGUUUACAGAGGUGGAUAAAGAGGGGAAGAAAGGAAAAAUCUGUAACUAAUUAAAAAUUCUAAACCUCAAAAUGACCUAGUCUGGGAGUUCUUUUAGGCACAUUAACGCUAUACUUCUGGUACUUCUGUGUAAGUCACAUGGCUGGCUAGGAGGCAAACAGCAUGUUUCUCCUUGGAGGUAUGGAAAUCUCUUUCUCUGCAUACUGUAGAGCACUGAUGCUUGAUAGGGAGGAGUGAGUGAGCAGAUACAAAUCACCUGGGGGUCCAGCCAUCUGCCUCUCACCCUACCAGAUCAGAGGAUCUCAGCUUUAAACCUAUUUCCUGCCUCAGCAAAAAAAUGUGUUUUACCCUUGGCAAACGUACAUCCAGGUGGAACUCUCUUCAUUCUCUGGGUAAAAAGUCAACCUUCCUAUCCCAGAUUGGGCUGUUUGUUCAUUUGGUGUUUUUUCUCCUUGUAAGAAAAUGCCAUCUGCCUAAAACUGUUCAAAAAGGCUGAAAUGGACAAAAGUAAUAUAGAAGAAAAAUUAGGAAGCACAUGUACGGUGGUCAAAAAUGUGUAACAAAUGUUAUUUGACUUCUGACUGUCAUUCAUCAUGGAUAUCGCUGAGCACAUCUGGCAUACACAAAAACAUUAAAAAAGUCCCUUUCCA